AAGACGGCACGAAGAUGGGUCAAAGGUAAUCCACGGACAGAGUGAAAGACACUACACUCUGCCUGCUACAGAACUUCAAGGCUCUUCUAGAAGCCUACUGCUGUCGAACCAGGAUGGUAUCGGUCUGUCGAUGAUGGUUGCCGUAGAGAUCAAUAGAUCCUGCGGAGGACCGCAUGGGUUCCAAAGAGCCCAACGGCCCGAGGAUGAAAGCCUUUCCUUCACCCGGCCAGUAUAACGGCCUUUCUGCGGACACUCACUCACACUCUGACAGGAAACACAUGAAACAGGGAAAUCCUUCGCAACUGCAGCACAGUCUUCAGAUGGAAAGGCUUCCAGGACUGUCUGGCUGUUGGAGGCAAACUUGUGGAGCCUGAGGUUUGACUCAGCCAGUGACAUCUGUGUUCUGCUCAACAAGCUGAUAGCUUCGGCAUCGGACGACGCAGAACGAAGGACGUCGUCCACAUAGAAGUGGCGUUUAACGAAGUUGACUGUGUCGGAGCCAUGUUCUCGUGCACCCUCUCUAAUUGCUCUCCUGAGUCCGUAGAUGGCUACAGCUGGGGACGGACUGUUGCCGAAAACAUGAACUUUCAUUCUGUAGUCUAUGAUUUAUUUUGUCACGUCAUUGUCCCGGUACCACAGGAAUAAGGAUAAUUUCUGUGGUCCUCCUGCACCAAAAAGCAGUGAAACAACUGCUGUAUGCCUGCCAAGAUGGCAACCUUUUCCUUACGGAACCGCAUCAGAACUCAGAGGAGAGAAUUGUUGAGGUUGAGGCCUGUAAGCAAUACAUCAUUGAGUGAAACACCUAAGUGUUUGGCACUAGAGUCAAACACCACCCUGAUUUGGCCUUUUUUUUUUUAGGGUGGUACACUCCAAAGGUUGGCAGGUACCAGCAUUCUUCGUGCUCUUCUAGUACUGGAGCGACCUCUGCAUGGUCGUUCUCCAAUAUUUUCCCCAUGAAAGCAACGGAUUGCUGUUGCAUCUCUGGCUUCUUUUUCAAGCUUUGUUGGAGUGAUGCAAAGCGUCUGACUGCUUGUUCUCGAUUGUUAGACAAGCGUUGUCUGGGAUGCUUGAAUGGGAGUGGAGCCACCAAGCUGUUUGAUUCAUUUCUGUAGACCUCUUUGUCCAUUAGUUUCAAGAAGAAGAUGCUAUCUUCAAUAGAAGAUGCUAGCUUUUUGUCAUGUUCGGUGUGACUGAAAACUGUUUGGCCCAAUGUUUCUUCCACGGACUUGCUAGUCUCUGAAAUCCUGUCUCUCAUUUAUUUUUCUUGGUGAACCUUUUCUUUGAUGUGCAAGAAGUUUGUACAGGGUUUGAGUAGGGAGGGCCGGCCGUUGUCAAGCACGGUUGUCUUAAAGGUGUUGACUGUUGGUAUAUGCGCUUUCCCCAAGCAGACUUCUCCAACCAGCACCCAUCCUAGGUCCAAGCGUUGGGCAAAGGGGGCAUUGUGGGGGCCAUUGACUUGUUCCCUAACUUUGUGCACUCUUAUUAUGUCUCUACCAAGUAACAGGAGGAUCUCAGCAGUUGGGUCGACCUCUGGGAUGUGCUCUGCUACCUUGACAAGAUGUGGAUGAUGACGAGCUGCAUUUGGGGUUGGGAUUUCAGAGCGGUUGUCAAGUAUGUUGUUGCACUCGAUGAGUGAUGGGAGAGGGAUCGUGGCCUUUCCGUCGAGUGACUCGACCACAACGUCUUCAGCCCUGCGCCCAGAUGUUUCCACUA